rnacentral:rRNA from 1 species
UACGAAGGGUGCUAGCGUUGUUCGGAAUUACUGGGCGUAAAGCACGCGUAGGCGGCUUUUCAAGUCAGGGGUGAAAUCCCACAGCUCAACUGUGGAAUUGCCUUUGAAACUGUAAAGCUUGAGUGUCGGAGGGGAUAGCGGAAUUGCUAAUGUAGAGGUGAAAUUCGUAGAUAUUAGCAGGAACACCGGUGGCGAAGGCGGCUAGCUGGACGACAACUGACGCUGAGGCGCGAAAGCGUGGGGAUCAAACAGG